UGCCCAAUCACUUACCUGUGCCAGGAGA
rnacentral:piRNA from 1 species